rnacentral:rRNA from 1 species
AGAGAGAGACAUGCGCGCAUAUCAAUAAGCGGAGGAAAAGAAACUAACAAGGAUUCCCUUAGUAACGGCGAGUGAAGCGGGAAGAGCUCAAAUUUGAAAUCUUCAAGGUUUUACCUUGACGAAUUGUAGUUUAAAGAAGUGUUUUCUGCUGAAGUUUUGGUAAAGGUUCUUUGGAAUAGGACAUCACAGAGGGUGAGAAUCCCGUAUUUGACCAUUAUUUUCAGCUUUGUGAUACACUUUCAAAGAGUCGGAUUGUUUGGGAAUGCAGUCCAAAAUGGGUGGUAAAUUUCAUCUAAAGCUAAAUAUUGGCGAGAGACCGAUAGCGAACAAGUACCGUGAGGGAAAGAUGAAAAGAACUUUGAAAAGAGAGUUAAACAGUACGUGAAAUUGUCAAAAGGGAAGCGUUUGACACCAGUGUUGUUUUCUCGAAAAUCAAUUAAAAAUGGCUCGAUUUUGUAUUGUUGAGACCUUAAAAGCUCACUGUACAUUUUUCGUGUCUUUUUUAAUGCACUUUUCGUUUAACAAGUCAACAUCAGUUUCUUUUGUUGUAAAAGGGUCAUUGGAAGGUGGCUUUCUUUUCGGAGAAAGUGUUUAUAGCCUUUGGCCUCUGCAAUCGGAAGAGACUGAGGUCUGCAGCGUAGACUCUUCGGGGUUAGAUACAUUUGUGCUAAGUUAUAGCUUUUUAUAGACAACUUGUUGACUAUAAUUAGUCUUGUAGCUUACUCGCUUAUGCUAUUUUACCUACGCUUAGGAUGUUGAAGAUGUAGCACAUCAU